GGUCAUGCUUUUCCACAGCUUUCUUGAACUUCCUUGCCAUGCUUAACUUGUGUGUGUGUGUGUGUGUGUGUGUAGAUCACUAUAUAUCUGUAUAGUUAUACACAUUUAGCUAGCUAGCACCAUGGAAGCUCAAGAAAGCCGUGGGAGAACAUGGCAA
rnacentral:pre_miRNA from 1 species